UCGAGAGGCUUCGGCAAUGGGGGAAACCCUGACCGAGCGACGCCGCGUGGGCGAUGAAGGCCGUUAGGUUGUAAAGCCCUGUCGAGCGGGAAAAAUUGCAAGCGGGUGAACAAUCCGCUUGUUUGAUGGUACCGUUAAAGGAAGCUCCGGCCAACUCCGUGCCAGCAGCCGCGGUAAUACGGGGGGAGCGGACGUUGUUCGGAAUUACUGGGCGUAAAGGGCGUGCAGGCGGUCCUGUAAGAGAGUUGUGAAAUGCCCUGGCUCAACCAGGGAAAUGCACCUCUGACUGUAGGACUUGAGUAUGGGAGAGGAUGGGGGAAUUCCCGGUGUAGCGGUGAAAUGCAUUGAUAUCGGGAGGAACACCAGUGGCGAAGGCGCCCAUCUGGCCUAAUACUGACGCUCAGGCGCGAAAGCUAGGGGAGCAAACAGG
rnacentral:rRNA from 1 species